rnacentral:lncRNA from 14 species
GGAAUGUCAUGGUGCACUGUAUUUGCAGGCUGUAUGGCAGGCAAUGGAGCUUCAAAUUCAGAGACUUAGCCUGGAUGACCUUACAUUUCCAUGUGUGUUGGACUCUGCCUGGCCAGCUCCGUCCGGUCAGAGAUAGGGUUUUCGAAAUUGUCACGUUAUCUCCCAAAGGUAAAAGAACAUCUGUACACCAAACACUGCCUGUCUGCCUCCUGUUUCUGGUGGGUGCCAUACCUUAUCCUGGGUGGGGAAAUGGGUGGGACAUGGGACAGCAAGCUCCAAGCCAAGAGGGCAAUCCAGAGAUGAGCAGAGAACCUCCUCUCCUUCAGAACCUCCUUCCAGAUCACCCUUGACAGGACGACCACCCUCUGAUCUCCCCUCUAUACAUACAUACACACACACACACACACACACACACACACACACACACACACACACCCUAAAUGGGCAACAGUGGAGCCAGGCCCAGAAGGCUCCAGUUGGUCGCAUUAACAUGGUUCAGAGAAAGAAACUGAAUCAAAGUCGUCUCUCUCAUUCUAGGGACUGGAGUCAAGGUGUUGAAUGCAAGUUGAACCUCAAGAGUAAGGGGAAAUGGAACCAGUGUCUGCAGGCCACUGUGUGCAGCCAAGUCCUCUCUGCAGUAGAUGAAGAGGAGGCCAAAGGCCCACAAAAGGGUCUUAGGAAGACUCCAAGACGUCUCUCUAGAAGGACAGAUCCGAGGUGACCAAACAAAAUGGAGCCUGCGGACCUGAAGUUUCAUUCAAAGGAUCCACAUGGGGCUCAGAACACUGUGAAACUUCAGUCCCAGAGCAACCAGUAAUGUCUUCUACACUAUCCUGUGACCAUGUCCAAAGCUUGAUGCCAAGUACCCACGUGGGAUGCACAAUGGUCUGCAACUCCAGUUCCAGAGCACCCAUGGCAACCUUCUGCCCUAUUCUGGGACCAGACAUGCAGCUGCUGCUUCAAACACUCGCACAGGCCAAACAGCUGUUCACAAAACUAUGCAAUGAUGCUUAAGAGAGGGAAA